rnacentral:rRNA from 1 species
GAUGAACGCUGGCGGCGUGCCUAAUACAUGCAAGUCGAGCGAACAGACGAGGAGCUUGCUCCUCUGACGUUAGCGGCGGACGGGUGAGUAACACGUGGAUAACCUACCUAUAAGACUGGGAUAACUUCGGGAAACCGGAGCUAAUACCGGAUAAUAUAUUGAACCGCAUGGUUCAAUAGUGAAAGACGGUUUUGCUGUCACUUAUAGAUGGAUCCGCGCCGCAUUAGCUAGUUGGUAAGGUAACGGCUUACCAAGGCAACGAUGCGUAGCCGACCUGAGAGAGUGAUCGGCGACACUGGAACUGAGACACGGUCAAGACGCCUACGGGAGGCAGCAGUAGGGAAUCUUCCGCAAUGGGCGAAAGCUUGACGGAGCAACGCCGCGUGAGUGAUGAAGGUCUUCGGAUCGUAAAACUCUGUUAUUAGGGAAGAACAAAUGUGUAAGUAACUAUGCACGUCUUGACGGUACCUAAUCAGAAAGCCACGGCUAACUACGUG